rnacentral:rRNA from 1 species
AGAGUUUGAUCCUGGCUCAUAACGAACGCUGGCGGCGUGCUUAACACAUGCAAGUCGAACGGACCAAGGGGCUUGCUCCUUGGUUAGUGGCGCACGGGUGAGUAACGCGUGGAUAAUCUGCCCGAUGAUCUGGGAUAACAUCUCGAAAGGGGUGCUAAUACCGGAUAAGCCCACGGGGUCUUCGGAUCUUGCGGGAAAAGAGGGGGACCUUCGGGCCUCUUGUCAUCGGAUGAGUCCGCGUACCAUUAGCUAGUUGGCGGGGUAAAGGCCCACCAAGGCGACGAUGGUUAGCUGGUCUGAGAGGAUGAUCAGCCACACUGGAACUGAGACACGGUCCAGACUCCUACGGGAGGCAGCAGUGGGGAAUUUUGCGCAAUGGGGGAAACCCUGACGCAGCAACGCCGCGUGAGUGAUGAAGGCCUUCGGGUCGUAAAGCUCUGUCUAGAGGAAAGAAGUGUAUGAUGGAUAAUACCCAUUGUACUUGACGGUACCUCUGAAGGAAGCACCGGCUAACUCCGUGCCAGCAGCCGCGGUAAUACGGAGGGUGCGAGCGUUGUUCGGAUUUAUUGGGCGUAAAGCGCGUGUAGGCGGUUUCUUAAGUCUGAUGUGAAAGCCCCGGGCUCAACCUGGGAAGUGCAUUGGAUACUGGGAGACUUGAAUACGGGAGAGGGUAGUGGAAUUCCUAGUGUAGGAGUGAAAUCCGUAGAUAUUAGGAGGAACACCGGUGGCGAAGGCGGCUACCUGGACCGAUAUUGACGCUGAGACGCGAAAGCGUGGGUAGCAAACAGGAUUAGAUACCCUGGUAGUCCACCCCGUAAACGAUGAGUACUAGGUGUUGCGGGUAUUGACCCCUGCAGUGCCGCAGCUAACGCAUUAAGUACUCCGCCUGGGAAGUACGGUCGCAAGACUAAAACUCAAAGGAAUUGAUGG